rnacentral:lncRNA from 1 species
UCAUUUUCACAUGGAAACGCUUCAGCUGCACUGAGUUGUUUCUGCAGGCAAGUUCCAUGGAGGGCCCUAACUGACAAUCUCUCUGUAGGGGUGUUCUCUUAUAAAUAAGUUGAUUGCUAUAAAAUUGGUUUCUAAGGAGAACAAUGCUUAAGUCGACCGACUGUACAAGUAAAUAAGGUCAUUUUCACAUGUGGAUAUGAUGCUUAAGUCAACCAACCGUACAAAUAAGGCCAUAAUCACAAGCGGAUAUUACAGGUGUUUCCAUAGUCGGGUAUCAUGGACGGUACUAUUCAUGAUCUUACCAGCUGUCUCCAUGCGGACCGUUGGUGAAUAUUUAGGGAGUAUCAGUCAAUGUGUUUAUUUUUUGAUGUGCUGUACUCACCUUGACCACAGGUAAAAUGUUAUAUUGACUUUGUAGCCACAUCGUUGGAGAUAUAUGCUCCACUCGUUUCACAAUAUAAGAUUUUUAAGCAUUUACCUGGAUCAUAUAAAUGAUAAUAAAUCUAGACGUAUAUACAAACCGCAUGAUAAUUGAAUAAACCUAAAUGAUAUUAGAAAGUUAUACAAUACGUAACAUGGAGUAAUUUUUUAAUCUUUCAUCAAUGAUUAGAUGAUCGUUACAUCAAGAUAAGAUAACGAUGUUGUAACAUCGAACAAGAUCAAAUAAACCUACUAGAGGGUGAAUGGUAAGAAAAACCAAAACCAAAAAAUCUUUCGCGGAAUAAAAAAUUACCUUUAUCGAAGAAAUUUACUAAAGCUUGCUACCUUGAUCGCGCCACUCCUGUGCCGCCGAUCAAAUCGUCGGAUCACGCCGCUCCUAUGCCACCGAGCAAAUCAUCGGAAUCCAGAAAAUCACUAGUAGAUGAAAGCCGAAAACGUAGAUUGAAUGAUCUUGACUUUAUUGCAACAACUAGAAAAAGCGCAUCAACAACGCUUCUCUGAAAAUUAUCGAUAUAGAAUCAACGGCUAUUCUAAACUCUAAUUUUCUAAUUCUAAAUUUCACAAAAACACACACGAAGAUAUACCACCAUUCGAUACCUAUUUAUAGCAAAAAUAAUCUAUGUCUAGAUUAUAUUUGACUCGGCCGCGGACGCUCGCAGCCGUACGGCCCGC